rnacentral:rRNA from 1 species
GACGAACGCUGGCGGCGUGCUUAACACAUGCAAGUCGAACGGAAAGGCCCUGCUUGCAGGGUGCUCGAGUGGCGAACGGGUGAGUAACACGUGGGUGAUCUGCUCCUUACUUUGGGUUACGCCUGGGAAACUGGGUCUAUUACUGGAUAGUCCCAUGCUGUAGGUGGUGUGGUGGUCAGAUUUGUUUCGGUCAGGGAUGAGCGCGCGGCCUGUCAUCUUGUUUGUGGGGUAAUGGCCUCACAAGGCGUCGCCGGGUAGCCGGCCUGAGAGGGUGGACGGCCACAUUGGGACUGAGAGACGAGGCAGACGCGGACGGGAGGCAGCAGUGGGGAAUAUUGCAAAAUGGGCGCAAGGCGGAUGCAGAGACGCCGCGUGGGGGAUGACGGCCUUCGGGUUGGGAGGUACGGCCAGCAAUGACGAAGCCGUUGUGGUGACGGUAGUGGUAGAAGAAGCACCGGCUAACUACGUG